GCAGUGGUGGUUCAGUGGUAGAAUUCUUGCCUUCCAUGUGGGAGACCCAGAUCUGAUUCCUGGCCAAUGCA
rfam:Loxodonta africana unplaced genomic scaffold scaffold_54, whole genome shotgun sequence.